AUCAUGAAUUUGUUAAGUUGACGUCUCAACUUUUUUUGCAGUACAUGGAAUGUGAAGCAGAUAAGAAACCAUCCCAGCUUGUUGAUCUUCUUAUCAAGAACAAGUAAACAAAAAUUAUAAAAUAUUACAUGACUUGUGCUUGU